GGGGACACUCACACAGACUGCUUCACGAUCUCCGAGUGGAUCCGUGCCACCCCAUUGACCGCGUGGGAGCCGAUCACGCACAGGAAGUCAGGGGCUGCUACCCCGGCCCUGCACGGCCCUCGGAACACCUUGCAGAGGAGCCCAUCUCCACCUGCCCCAGCCCACAGACCACAAGGCUGCUGUGUCUGAGCAGGAUGGGACCUCAAAGGUGGAAGAUACACCAUUUGAUUUGCACGGAGAAAGCUGGACAGCUGCCGGUUAAUCUGGGGGCAUCAACCACAUUAUCACCGGGGGACAGUCACUUUCACCAAAAGGCCUAGACCACCAGAACGUUCCAGCAUGUUUAGGAGCAAGCAGCUCUCUGGCCAGGUGCCGAGGCCGGAUGAACAUCGAGGACCAUAGGCAGGUGCCAUUCCUCCAGGGAGGGCUGCUGUCCCCUCUGCUCCCCAGGCUGAGCCAUGAGAACAUGUUCAUAACCAUGGAAACUACCUACUUAACACUUCUGUGAUGUUUUGGGGCCAAACUUCAAGAAUGUCCACCUCCAGGGCCCACACCUCUCCCAGGGGGACAUACUCCCAAGGCCCAGGGAGAGGUUCCCAGCCUCCUGGGUCCUCACAGGAUCUCGGCAGCCAAACUUGGAGGACUUGAAGCGGCGGAUGAUGUCCUGGAGGGUGGCGGCCACCACAAAGUACUCCUGCUUCAGCCGUAGCUCCUUCCCCUCGAAGAACUGUG